rnacentral:rRNA from 1 species
CAGCAGCCGCGGGAAUACGAAGGGGGCUAGCGUUGUUCGGAAUUACUGGGCGUAAAGCGCACGUAGGCGGACAUUUAAGUCAGGGGUGAAAUCCCGGGGCUCAACCCCGGAACUGCCUUUGAUACUGGGUGUCUAGAGUAUGGAAGAGGUGAGUGGAAUUCCGAGUGUAGAGGUGAAAUUCGUAGAUAUUCGGAGGAACACCAGUGGCGAAGGCGGCUCACUGGUCCAUUACUGACGCUGAGGUGCGAAAGCGUGGGGAGCAAACAGGAUUAGAUACCCCUGUAGUCCCUGUCUCUUAUAC